AAGGAAAUGGAACCUGUACGUUAGUCUUCUUUAAUUUUGAGAGGUCUUGUGGGGCCUUAGCUCAGCUGGGAGAGCGCCUGCUUUGCACGCAGGAGGUCAGCGGUUCGAUCCCGCUAGGCUCCAUUCAAUCUUGAGACAAGAUUGGACGAAUGACCAUUGAAAAUUGAAUAUCUAUCAAAUUCCAUUUAACUAGUAAUAGUUAAAUGAAUAGUAACAAGAAAAUAAACCGAAAACGCUGUAAAUAUUUAAUGAGUUUUUAAAAAAU
rnacentral:tRNA from 1 species